AGUUGGUAGAGCAUAACCUUGCCAAGGUUAGGGUCGCGAGUUCGAACCUCGUUUCCCGCUCCA
rnacentral:tRNA from 1 species